rnacentral:lncRNA from 1 species
GUAAGAUCUCCACCACCAGAGAUAGUCCUCACUGCAUAACUGGAAGUAGCAGAGCACGAUGGUUAUUUCAGCGCAUGUGACAAUGAGGAUUGCGAAAACGAGGAACAGGAAACCAAAGAUGUAGUAGAAUUGAUUCAGCCAGAUCGAGGUGAGAAUGAAGAACAGCUCGAUGAAAACAGCUCCAAAUGGAAGAAUUCCUCCUAUUAGAAUUGAGAAGGCUGGGUUCAUGUACCAUGCUUGCUCUGGGAUUUGUCUUGGUAUUUUAUUUGUCUUCACAGGGUCCUCAAUUGCUGGCUUCUUGGAUCCAAUAUAACUUCCAACAAACACUAGCGGAACUGAAAUUCCAAACCAUAAGAAUACCAGAGCAAACAUCGUUCCAAAUGGCACAGCGCCAGAUGAUUUCUGGCCCCAGAUGAGAGCAUUCAAGACAAAGAAAAUGGCAGAGACGAUCCCUGGGAACAUGACUGCAGUCCUGAGAGCAAUUUUCUUCCAUUCUGAUCCUUUGAACAUUUUAUAUAACCGGGAUGAGGCAUAGCCAGCAAAAAUGCCCAUGAAAACCCAAAGCAAGAGCAUGGCUGUCAUAAGACCACCUCUGUUUGAAGGGGAAAGGAAUCCAAGAAUCGCAAAAAUCAUGGUAACAAGGAUCAUUCCAAAAAACUGAACACCGGUUCCAACAUAGACACACAACAAGUCCGAAUUUGAUGGGGGCCUGAAAACAUCUCCAUGAACAAGCUUCCAUCCAGUCUCUUCU